CGAUUACGGCUCAGUAACACGUGGAUAACCUACCCUUAGGACUGGGAUAACCCUGGGAAACUGGGGAUAAUACUGGAUAGGCAAUUAUUCCUGUAAUGGUUUUUUGUUUAAAUGUUUUUUCGCCUAAGGAUGGGUCUGCGGCCGAUUAGGUAGUUGGUUAGGUAAUGGCUUACCAAGCCUUUGAUCGGUACGGGUUGUGAGAGCAAGAGCCCGGAGAUGGAACCUGAGACAAGGUUCCAGGCCCUACGGGGUGCAGCAGGCGCGAAACCUCCGCAAUGUGAGAAAUCGCGACGGGGGGAUCCCAAGUGCCAUUCUUAACGGGAUGGCUUAUCAUUAGUGUAAAGAGCUUUUGGAAUAAGAGCUGGGCAAGACCGGUGCCAGCCGCCGCGGUAACACCGGCAGCUCUAGUGGUAGCAGUUUUUAUUGGGCCUAAAGCGUCCGUAGCCGGUUUAAUAAGUCUCUGGUGAAAUCCUGCAGCUUAACUGUGGGAAUUGCUGGAGAUACUAU
rnacentral:rRNA from 1 species